rnacentral:rRNA from 1 species
AUGGCGAAAACUUGCACCUUAGUGCUGCUUGGCGCACUGGUGGUGCUCUCACUCCUUGUGAGCCCCAUUGCUUGCUCCGGCAAGCUCGCCAAGGUGGCCGGGCCACACAAGCCUGCUGCAGUCAAGGGCCACAAAAACCAGACGACUAACCCCUCUUCGUCCGCCGCAUACGGCGGCGGCUGGUUGCCCGCCGGCGCCACGUAUUACGGAAACCCUAACGGCGCCGGAAGCGACGGUGGCGCGUGUGGCUACCAGACCGCUGUUGGGCACCGGCCGUUCUCGUCGAUGAUCGCCGCCGGGAGCUCGCCUCUAUUCAUGGCGGGCAUGGGCUGCGGCGCGUGCUAUGAUGUUAAAUGCACGAGCAACUCAGCCUGCUCCGGGAAGCCUGUGACCGUCGUCAUCACCGACCUGAGCCCCGGCAACCUCUACCCCGGCGAGCCGUGCCAUUUCGACAUGAGCGGCACCGCCCUGGGCGCCAUGGCGAAGCCUGGCAUGGCCGACAAGCUCCGCGCCGGCGGUGUCAUCAGGAUGCAGUACAAGAGGGUGCCAUGCAAGUACCCUGGCGUGAACAUUGCAUUCAGGGUGGACCAGGGCUCCAACCCCUUCUACUUCAAGACCCUGAUCGAGUUCGUGGGCGACGACGGCGACCUCAAGGCCGUGGCCCUCAAGGAGGCUGGAAGCGGCGCCUGGACGCCAAUGGCGCAGGACUGGGGCGCACUGUGGCGCCUCAACAACGGCAGGCGGCUGCGCGCCCCAUUCUGCCUCAAGCUCACCUCCGACUCCGGCAGGGUCCUCGUCGUCAACAACGUCAUCCCCGCCAACUGGAAGGCCGGGGCCACGUAUCGCUCCCUGGUGAACUACCGCUAA